UAAGGAAUAUCGGUCAAUGGACGCAAGUCUGAACCAGCCAUGCCGCGUGGAGGAUGAAGGCCCUCUGGGUUGUAAACUUCUUUUAUGGGGGACGAAAUCACUUAUUCUUAAGUGUCUGACGGUACCCCAGGAAUAAGCACCGGCUAACUCCGUGCCAGCAGCCGCGGUAAUACGGAGGGUGCAAGCGUUAUCCGGAUUCACUGGGUUUAAAGGGUGCGUAGGAGGGCAGGUAAGUCAGUGGUGAAAUCCUAGGGCUUAACCCUAGAACUGCCGUUGAUACUCUCUGCCUUGAAUACCGUGGAGGUGAGCGGAAUAUGUCAUGUAGCGGUGAAAUGCUUAGAUAUGACAUAGAACACCGAUUGCGAAGGCAGCUCACUACACGAACAUUGACUCUGAGGCACGAAAGCGUGGGGAUCAAACAG
rnacentral:rRNA from 1 species